UACGGAGGGGGCUAGCGUUGUUCGGAAUUACUGGGCGUAAAGCGCGCGUAGGCGGAUUCUUAAGUCAGGGGUGAAAUCCCGAGGCUCAACCUCGGAACUGCCUUUGAUACUGGGGAUCUCGAGUUCGGGAGAGGUGAGUGGAAUUGCGAGUGUAGAGGUGAAAUUCGUAGAUAUUCGCAAGAACACCAGUGGCGAAGGCGGCUCACUGGCCCGAUACUGACGCUGAGGUGCGAAAGCGUGGGGAGCAAACAGG
rnacentral:rRNA from 1 species